rnacentral:rRNA from 1 species
UACGGAGGGGGCGAGCGUUAUUCGGAAUUAUUGGGCGUAAAGGGCGCGUAGGCGGCUGGACAAGUCAAAGGUGAAAUCCCUCGGCUCAACUGAGGAACUGCCUCUGAAACUGUCUGGCUUGAGGCCGGGAGGGGGUAGCGGAAUUCCCAGUGUAGCGGUGAAAUGCGUAGAGAUCCGGAGGAACACCGACGGCGCAGGCAGCGUCCUGGCCGCUUGCUGACACUGAGGCACGAAAGCUGGGGGAGCAAACAGG